rnacentral:rRNA from 1 species
AUACGUAGGUGGCAAGCGUUGUCCGGAAUUAUUGGGCGUAAAGCGCAUGUAGGCGGUGCCUUAAGUCUGUCGUGAAACUGCGGGGCCUAACCCCGUAUGGCGAUGGAAACUGUGGCACUUGAGUGCAGGAGAGGAAAGGGGAACUCCCAGUGUAGCGGUGAAAUGCGUAGAUAUUGGGAAGAACACCGGUGGCGAAGGCGCCUUUCUGGACUGUGUCUGACGCUGAUAUGCGAAAGCCAGGGUAGCGAACGGGAUUAGAUACCCCGGUAGUCCUGGCCGUAAACGAUGGGUACUAGGUGUUGGAGGUAUCGACCCCUUCCGUGCCGGAGUUAACGCAAUAAGUACCCCGCCUGGGGAGUACGGCCGCAAGGCUUAAACUCAAAGGAAUUGACGGGG